rnacentral:rRNA from 1 species
GACGAACGCUGGCGGCGUGCUUAACACAUGCAAGUCGAACGGAAAGGCCCUGCUUUUGUGGGUUGCUCGAUUGGCGAACGGUUGAUUAACACGUGAUUAACCUGCCCUUGACUUUGGGUUAACUUCGGGAAACUGGGGCUAAUACCGGAUAGGAGCUCCUGCUGCUUGGUGGGGUUUGGAAAGUUUCGGCGGUUGGGGAUGGACUCGCGGCUUAUCAGCUUGUUGGUGGGGUAGUGGCUUACCAAGGCUUUGACGGGUAGCCGGCCUGAGAGGGUGACCGGCCACAUUGGGACUGAGAUACGGCCCAGACUCCUACGGGAGGCAGCAGUGGGGAAUAUUGCACAAUGGGCGGAAGCCUGAUGCAGCAACGCCGCGUGCGGGAUGACGGCCUUCGGGUUGUAAACCGCUUUCGCCUGUGACGAAGCGUGAGUGACGGUAAUGGGUAAAGAAGCACCGGCUAACUACGUG